AACGAACGCUGGCGGCAUGCCUAACACAUGCAAGUCGAACGAGACCUUCGGGUCUAGUGGCGCACGGGUGCGUAACGCGUGGGAACCUGCCCUUAGGCUCGGAAUAACUCCCCGAAAGGGGUGCUAAUACCGGAUAAUGUCUUCGGACCAAAGAUUUAUCGCCUUUGGAUGGGCCCGCGUUGGAUUAGCUAGUUGGUAGGGUAAAAGCCUACCAAGGCGACGAUCCAUAGCUGGUCUGAGAGGAUGAUCAGCCACACUGGGACUGAGACACGGCCCAGACUCCUACGGGAGGCAGCAGUGGGGGAUAUUGGCAAAUGGGGGGAAGCAUGAUCCAGCAAGGCCGCGUGAGUGAUGAAGGCCUUAGAGUUGUAAAGCUCUUUUACCCGGGAUGAUAAUGACAGUACCGGGAGAAUAAGCUCCGGCUAACUCCGUG
rnacentral:rRNA from 1 species